CCGUCUCCCAUGCGCCUGUCCUCCUCAUCCUUAUCUCCUCUGUGUCUUGGCUCAUCCCCUCACGCACGUGCACCGCGGCCUCAUCCUCUCGCUGUUAACCCGGUCGCAAGUAGCUAGCAGCACACGCUUCUCCUCUGUCUCGCUCUCUCUUCCACUCACGCACAUGAGCAGCAGCCGCAGCAAGUCAAGCUCGCCAUUGCCAUGCUCAGCCGCUGCCGCCGAGCUACUGUAGUGAGCACCCCCUGGAGCCCCUCCGUCGACCCAGGAGCUCCUCGUCAACUCCCUCGUCUGCGAUCUCACACGCACUCGCAUGGCAUGUUUCAGUUCCGGCCAAAGGAUGAUGCACACCGCCGCCAUGAUUCUUUCUCCUUCGCUGCACGCACCGCCGUGGCCGUUUUUGCCUCCCCCGGUCACCAUUGCCGCCACCGAAGCACCUCACCGGUGAUCCACCACUCCACAGCUUUUCCAAGCCAAUUUGCACCAUGGAGAGCUCCACCGUGACCGCCUGGACGUAGAGCGCGCACCCCCUUGGCCCCGGCCCGUCGCCGGCGCGAUGCUCAGCGAGAACCACACGUCGUCGUGCCGCCUUCCCCGCCACCGGCUGUGCCCCGGUCGAGCCCGUCGGUCAGUACCUACCUGUGGUUGUUCCUCAUCGUGAGGCGUAGCUGAGGGUGCUCUCAGUUGGCCGAGCCGCUGUCUUUUUCCACCGUCGCCGGUGUGCAACCACUGCCGCCUGCAGCUAAACUUCGAAACCUCGGCGCCGCAACCAGUCGCAUGACUUCACGCCGCGUGCUGCCGUCGCCAUUGCCGCCGUCGAGCUUGCUCUGGCCACCUCUGAGCCGUGCGUGUCACUUCAUGAGGAUCCCCAUGGCACACUAAACAUCUUGGUACCCUCCGCUGGCCGAGCUGUCGCCGAAACCGCCGCCGGCGUUGCCUCCGGCAAGCCCCACGGUCUAACCGCUGCCCCCAGUUUAUCUAGCUUCUGUGUACUGUUCAUCGUUUGAUCAAAAUAACUAGAAAUUGGUAUAAUUCGUAGUAAAAUAAAU